CAUAAUUUUAGGAUAUGAUUUUAUACUUAACAGGCACUCUUAAUUUCAUUUAUGUUGUAUGUGUCCAUGAAUCAUCCAAGGGAUUAAAAAGAUGAAGACACAUAUUUUCAAAAAAUUAAAAAUUUGAGGCAUGUAUCAUUGAUGGUUAAUUCUUAAAUUACUUCUGAUCGUAGGAUUAUAAUGAGAACGAUGAUUUAUCUGAAC
rnacentral:lncRNA from 1 species